UACGAAGGGUGCAAGCGUUACUCGGAAUUACUGGGCGUAAAGCGUGCGUAGGUGGUUCGUUAAGUCUGAUGUGAAAGCCCUGGGCUCAACCUGGGAAUGGCAUUGGAAACUGGCGACCUAGAGUGCGGUAGAGGGUAGUGGAAUUCCCGGUGUAGCAGUGAAAUGCGUAGAGAUCGGGAGGAACAUCCGUGGCGAAGGCGACUACCUGGACCAGCACUGACACUGAGACGCGAAAGCGUGGGGAGCAAACAGG
rnacentral:rRNA from 1 species